rnacentral:pre_miRNA from 1 species
AAUAUCAACUGAAAAAGUCAUCAACAACAAAGUUGAAUAACUCAUCAAGAUCUAAAACUUUUAUUUUGGUCAUUUCUUCAUAAGACAAAGUGAUAGUAACAUUGUUCACAAAAUUGACAUAUCUCUUAUCUGGUUUUAUAAACUAUAACACAUAUAUGUGAAAUUUAUGAACAAUGUUAUUAAUAUUUUUUCGGAUGAAGAAAUAACAAAAAAAAGUUUUAGAUCUUGAUGAGUUAUUCAACUUUGUUGUUGAUGACUUUUUCAAUUGAAAUC